UGCCAGCAGCCGCGGUAACACGGGGGGCGCAAGCGUUAUUCGGAAUUAUUGGGCGUAAAGGGCGUGUAGGCGGUCUUAUCGGUCAGAUGUGAAAGCCCGCGGCUCAACCGUGGAAGUGCAUUUGAAACUGUAUAGCUUGAGUACUGGAGGGGGUAGUGGAAUUCCCGGUGUAGAGGUGAAAUUCGUAGAUAUCGGGAGGAAUACCGGUGGCGAAGGCGACUACCUGGCCAGAUACUGACGCUGAGGUGCGAAAGCGUGGGGAGCAAACAGGAUUAGAUA
rnacentral:rRNA from 1 species